rnacentral:rRNA from 1 species
AUUGAACGCUGGCGGCAUGCCUUACACAUGCAAGUCGAACGGCAGCACGGGAGCAAUCCUGGUGGCGAGUGGCGAACGGGUGAGUAAUAUAUCGGAACGUGCCCAGUCGUGGGGAUAACGUAGCGAAAGCUACGCUAAUACCGCAUACGAUCUAUGGAUGAAAGCGGGGGAUCGCAAGACCUCGCGCGAUUGGAGCGGCCGAUAUCAGAUUAGGUAGUUGGUGAGGUAAAGGCUCACCAAGCCGACGAUCUGUAGCUGGUCUGAGAGGACGACCAGCCACACUGGAACUGAGACACGGUCCAGACUCCUACGGGAGGCAGCAGUGGGGAAUUUUUGGACAAUGGACGCAAGGUCUGAUCCAGCCAUUCCGCGUGCAGGAUG